GUAGAAAUCAAGGAAUGAUGAAAAGGACCUGGAAAUUCAAAGAAGAGAAAAUUCAGGAAAAACUGGAAGUAGAAUUUUCUGGAUCAAGCAGAGGAGGCGGGCGAGCAGAGGAAGGACGUUUUCACCUGUGUCUUUUAUGUAAAGGAAGCCAUCUAAAGUUAUGAACAUAUCUGAGGGACUGGAAUGUUGGGAGAAACAAGAGACUCUCUUCAAUUUUGUAGGUGGCCCAGGACAGGCGGAAAUCUGGGUCUGAGACAUUUAAAGUCAACAGGAGAGAAAAGCAACGGGGCUGAGUUCUUGGGACAACUCAGAGAAGUAAACUGAAGAAAAAUGAAAAAUCAUGUUUUGGAGACACUCCAGCAAGAGAGAGAUUUACCUUCAUGGCCCAGGACACCUGAAGCUGGGGCUCUGGCCACCAGUUAGUGAUGUCCCCAUCACUGGAUCAAGCCCGAGAGCCCCACCCUCCUCAGAAGCCAGUUUCAGACUGGAGUGGUUGUGUGCCUAGGGCCCUAGUUGCGUAGAACUCAGAAUGCCGUGACCUCUAGGUAUGUUGUUACGUGAGACAGGAGGUUCUGGAACACUGUGAGCACAGGUGACUUAUGGGUCACCUGGAAACCAACCACAGCAAACACCAUUUUAAGUGAAAAUAUUCUAAGUUACAGAUGGCUUAAAGGAUCUCAGUUUGUGGAGGUCCUUAAAUGAUGUUCUACCCAAUAUCCUUAUGUCAUUUUUAACAUCUCAGUCCAACAGUUUUCAGAGAAAAAGCUUAUCAGAGUGACAGUCUAACUUGACCCAGGCAGCUUUUUCCUGUCAUUGUAGCAUAAUGUCAACAUUUCUUUUCUCCAUUUAUUAUUUAUCAUAUAAUACCCCUAAAUCCUCAAGAAAACUAUUUGAAAAAAAUUAUUAUGGCACCUUGCAUUUGAUGUGUGCUCUAUAAAAGCUUAUCAUUUUGAAAAGUGAUUCAAUGUGUGAAUGAAUAAUUCCUAAGGAGAAACACAGAAGUGCAGAACAUC
rnacentral:lncRNA from 1 species